CCCAAAAAAAAAUACUAGCAAGUAAGAACAUUUGAUCGGCCACUUCUGCUUCUCAAUCCCUUCCAUGGCCACUACCCCGACGAUCCCGAACCCUAAGCUUCGAUCGAUCCCCCUCCUCCUCUUCCGCUUCGUCUUCGUCCUCUGCGUUCCCGGCGAUCUUAGCUCCGGCUCGGCCCCAUCGACGAUCCUCCACCUCCAUGGCGAAUCCGCGGAGCGCGUCGUCGCCGAGGCCUCGCGGUGCCCGUCGCCGAACCCUAGCCUCUACUACUACCCGGUGAUCGGGAUCGUGAGCCACCCCGGGGACGGCGCCUCCGGGAGGCUGAGCAACGCCACCGCCGCCUCCAACAUCCCCGCCUCCUACGUCAAGUUCGUCGAGUCCGCGGGAGCCCGCGUCAUCCCCCUCCUCUACAACGACCCCGAAGAAACCCUCCUCGAUAAGCUGAGUUUGGUGAAUGGUGUGUUGUUUACUGGUGGAUGGGCCAAAAAAGGUCAAUAUUUUGAAACCAUAAAGAAAGUCUUCCAGAUAAUUUUGGACAGAAAUGAUGCAGGGGAUCAUUUUCCAUUGUUUGCAAUUUGUUUAGGCUUCGAGCUCGUAAACAUGAUAGUCAGCAAGGACCAUAAUAUUUGUGAGAGUUUCAGCGCAGAAAAUCAAGCGUCAACUCUUCAGUUCACAAAUUAUAGUGUGAUUCAAGGAUCUGUUUUUGAAAGAUUCCCUCCCGAACUACUCGAGAAAUUAAGCACCGAUUGUCUUGCUAUGCAAAAUCAUAAGUUUGGUGUAUCUCCUCAAAGGUUGCAAGAGAAUUAUGCUUUAUCAAGUUUCUUCAAGAUUUUGACUACGUCAGCUGAUGAAAAUAACGCGAUCUAUGUCUCAACUGCGCAAGCAUACAAUUAUCCAGUGACUUGUUUCCAGUGGCAUCCUGAGAAAAAUGCUUUUGAAUGGGGACUAUCGAUGAUUCCACACAGUGAGGAUGCAGUUCAAGUAACGCAGCAUGUGGCUAAUUAUUUCAUCAGCGAGGCUCGCAAGUCCUCAAACAGGCCUCCUGCUGAGAAGGUGCUGAAUAAUCUCAUCUACAAUUACAGCCCCACAUAUUGCGGGAAGGAGGGGAAGGGGUAUGACGAAGUUUACAUCUUCUCCGAAUAUACUGGAAAAAGUUUGAACGAGUAGCUUCUCAUCCAAGCCUAUUGGGCCUCUUAAAUUCCUCGUUUAAUACGGUAUUAAGAUUCAGAUAAAAAAACUUUCAGAUCAAAAUAAGCUUUUAAGAUUCGGACGUGAGGUGUAUCAUAUGGCUCACCGUGCUAUUUCAACGAGAAUUCAUGGAGCUCCCCAUUAAAGUUGCGCUUCCAAAUACAUGCAUUGGCGGGAAGGGAUUGUGUGGCGGAGCCGAGCAAAAGCAAUUGGAAGCUCCAGAGCCCUACAAAAACUACGGGACGACCCUGCAAAAACUAGAGGACGGGAGCAAGAUCUAGAGACUGUUUGGUUGGAUGUAAUCAUAAAAAUAUUGUAGUUGAAAAUACAUGCAGUUAUAAAUGUUGCAGUUAUAACUACACUUAGUUUUUUUGAUUUUAUGUAGUUACAACUGCUGGAGUUAUAUUUCUUCUGUUUGAUAGGUUGCAGUUGAGAUUUGCAUUUGUAAAUUCUAUCAAUGUUUAAAUAGAAAUAUGAGAUUGCCUCUUCUAAACAUAA